rnacentral:rRNA from 1 species
GGUCAAGCUACGAAGGGCGCACGGUGGAUGCCUAGGCGAUCAGAGGCGAAGAAGGACGUGGACAGCUGCGAAAAGCUCCGGGGAACCGCUAACAGGUUGUGAUCCGGAGGUCUCCGAAUGGGGAAACCCGAGCAGGGAUUACCUGCCAGCCCGUGGUGAAUACAUAGCCACGAGGCAGCCAAGCCAGGGAACUGAAACAUCUAAGUACCUGGACGAAAGGAAAGCAAAAGCGACUCC